rnacentral:rRNA from 1 species
GACGAACGCUGGCGGCGUGCUUAACACAUGCAAGUCGAACGGAAAGGCCCUGCUUUUGUGGGUUGCUCGAGUGGCGAACGGGUGAGUAACACGUGAGUAACCUGCCCUUGACUUUGGGAUAACUUCAGGAAACUGGGUCUAAUACCGCAUAGGAUCUCCUGCUGCAUGUUGGUGGUUGGAAAGUUUCGGCGGUUGGGUAUGGACUCGCGGCUUAUCAGCUUGUUGGUGGGGUAGUGGCUUACCAAGGCUUUGACGGGUAGCCGGCCUGAGAGGUGGACCGGGCACAUGGGGACUGAGGUACGGACCAGACUCGUACGGGAGGCAGCAGGGGGGAAUAUUGCACAAUGGGCGGAAGCCUGAGGCAGAAACGCCGCGUGCGGGAUGACGGCCUUCGGGUUGUAAACCGAUGUCGCAUGUGACGAAGAGUGAGUGACGGUAAUGGGUAAAGAAGCACCGGCUAACUACGUG